CGGGGCGUAGCGCAGUUUGGUAGCGCACACCGUUCGGGACGGUGGGGUCGGAGGUUCAAAUCCUCUCGCCCCGACCA
rnacentral:tRNA from 1 species